GAAAAAAUGGCGUCUACAAGUGCUUUCACAGCUGGGAUUUCAAAUCUUCAUAGCUUCAAAAAACCGUGUCCUAAUGCAAAUCAAGUUGGUAUGUGGACUUUAUCAAGACCUGGUUGUCGAAAGGUUUUAGAUAAUCCCAGACCUCUGCAAAUAUGUUCUCUGUUUGGAGGAAAAAAGGACAAUAAUGAGCAGAACAACGAUGCUCCUUCAAAGGCAGGUCUUUUUGGCAACAUGCAAAACUUAUACGAGACAGUGAAGAAGGCGCAAAAUGUGGUUCAAGUUGAGGCAGUGCGAGUACAAAAAGAGCUUGCUUUAGCAGAGUUUGAUGGAUACUGUGAAGGUGAACUAAUCAAGGUAACACUGUCUGGAAAUCAGCAGCCGAUACGCACUGAAAUUACUGAGGCUGCCAUGGCAUUAGGCCCAGAAAAACUCUCACUUCUGAUUACAGAGGCAUACAAGGAUGCGCAUCAGAAAAGUGUACUGGCAAUGAAG
rnacentral:misc_RNA from 1 species